CACAGGAAAAACAGGAUAUAUUAAGGUUGGAAAAGACCUUCAAGAUCAUCUGGUCCAACCAUCCCCCUACUGCCAAUGUCACCCACUAGACCACGUCCCUAAGCGCCAGGUCCCACCUUUCCUUGAAAGCCCUCAGGGACAGUAACCCAACCACUUCCCUGGGCAACCCGUUCCAAUGCCUGCCCGCUCCUUCUGAGAAGAAAUGUCUCCUAAUUGUUUUAAUUAUUGAAGAGUAGUGCUCUUUGUUCAAUUCUUCGUUUUAGUUGUUGAAGAGUAGGGUAUGAUGUUUCCAUUUUUCCACUCACCGGGGACAUCACCCAAAUGCCAGGAAUUUUCAGCUAGGAUGGAGAGAGGCUUGGCAACUC